GGCGGCGUGCCUAAUACAUGCAAGUCGAGCGAAUGGAUUAAGAGCUUGCUCUUAUGAAGUUAGCGGCGGACGGGUGAGUAACACGUGGGUAACCUGCCCAUAAGACUGGGAUAACUCCGGGAAACCGGGGCUAAUACCGGAUAACAUUUUGAACCGCAUGGUUCGAAAUUGAAAGGCGGCUUCGGCUGUCACUUAUGGAUGGACCCGCGUCGCAUUAGCUAGUUGGUGAGGUAACGGCUCACCAAGGCAACGAUGAUGCCGUAGCCGACCUGAGAGGGUGAUCGGCCACACUGGGACUGAGACACGGCCCAGACUCCUACGGGAGGCA
rnacentral:rRNA from 1 species